GUGAUUCAUUUUUACUACAGGUACUGUACAGCAUUUUGAAGACGUAUUGAAUUUAUAAACAUUUCGUUCGUGCUAUCGAAGAGAAAUACAGAAGUGAAAAUCACUUUUUUUGGUAAUCAAUACAUUUAUAUUUAAGCUUAAAUUAGUUUCAAAACUUCAAAAGAUUUUGUAGGAAAAAAAGAGAGGUGUUACAUGUUUACCCCCAAGCAAAAAUGAUUCAUCCCAAAUAGCUGCGCGCUGGAUGUUGUUAAUAGUUGGUGCCCGACCCCAUUAUAUGGAGAACAAUGUUGGAACCGCACUCAACAUUGGUAGAUAAACAUUCUCGAUAUGGCCCCGAGGGCUGCCAAAACAGACGAAGAAAAACGUGAAAUUGUGCUGGAAUACUUGGAGAAACAAUGUGAACCAAAAGAACGUAAAAUCAUGCAGGAUUUUCCCGAAGACCUAACAUUCACCUCGAUGUUAAGGCAAAAAGCGGCGUGAUCUUGACAGCAGAGCUGACAACUUACUGGGACUUGCUACGACAGAGGAAAGGAUCGACCCCAAAGUGUUUGGUGUAUAUGCAUGGCACUUUCAAUGCGCUUGCUGAAGCAUAUGCCAGUGUCCGUGAUGUCCUGCACGAGGGAGCAUUCACUGUGGGAAAGAAGGACAGAACACAACUCAUGGUGGAGGUUUUUUCACUCUCAACUACCAGCUUGUGACUGGGAACGAAUCCUGGAUGAAUUUUCGAGGUCAGAUUCAAUUAUCUGACGCCUCAUGCGCACUUCAGCCUUCGGCAUGGGAAUAGACAUUCCAGACAUAUGAGUGGUUGUAGUAUGGGGUGCACCAUCUUCAUUGUCUGCAUUGUGGCAAGAAAUUGGGAGAGCCAGGAGAGACGGCAAUAAGGCAGAAUCCUACAUAAUGCUGACACCAUCCAGUUGCAAGCAUGCUGAUGACGCGAUCAAACAUCUUUGUAAUUACUCGAAAGUAUCACUGCAUCAGGAAGUUCAUCUUGGAAAAUGUGUUCUAAAAGGGUGUAUAGACUUUCCAGACCAGCAACGACAUACAGUGUGUUGUUGCUGCUUCGGUGAUGGCAUGUCCUCUUAGCUAACAUGUAUGAGGUCUCUCUCCAAGUCUCGUUGAUGGCUGCAGUUUUUGAGCUUAUCUCUGAGCUUGUUUGGACUUUUGGGUGGUCGAAGUCCGGAUAGGAACUGUGUGCCCUCUCUGGUUUCAAUCCAUCAACAAGCUUGACGAGCUGGUAGUAGGCUCUAGCCGACUUGGAGUUGGCAAUAUAUUUGUCCAUGAGUUGCUCAGUGCCAUCGAAGGGACGAUCCCAGGCUUCCUGUUAUAGGACUCACUGGCAAUGAUCAAACAUCUUUGCGAUUUCUCGAAAGUAUCCUGCAUCGAGAAGUUCCAUCUUGGAAAAUGUGUUGUACAAGGGUCUGGUCGUUGUUCGGACCUUCCAGACCAGCAACAACAUACAGUGUGGGGUUGCUACUUUAGUGAGCCAUGUCCUCUUAGGUUAUGUCUCUCUCCAAGUUAAGUUCAUGGCUGCAGUUUUGGAGCUUAUCUCCAAGCUUGUUUGGGUUUUUCACCUGGAGUCAGCGUUCGAAGUCUGGAUACGAACCAUUAGCCCUCUCUGGUUUGAAGUCAAAGAUGCUGUCAUCUUUCAAUCCAUCAACAAGCUUGAGGAUGUCUCUCAGGUAGGAGGCUCUAGCGGACUUUGAUUUGGCAACAUACCUGUUCAUGAGUUGAACAUUCGUCGAAGGGACGAUCCCAGGCUUCCUGUUUACAACUCGCUCCCUUGAUGUGUUGUUCUGAGUAGUUACCCCUGGUGCGUUUCAGUGUGUCUAUAACAAAGGCAACAAGUUAGAAUAACAAAAAUAGGCACAACUGAAUAAGAUAAUGAAGAAUACAACUUUUCACAGCAAAUGCACACAAGAGAAUUAAUGAUGCUUUGUUUUUGGUCUUUCCAUGCAUUCUUAAACAAAAUCAUGCAAGCACACAGGUAUUGGAGGAUAAAAAAGAAGAGUAUUACCUUUGAAUUUGUUGUUUGCAAAUUCAUUGACGAGGUCAAGGGGCAAGUUUUUUCCUGCCCCUCCCGCAAUAUUCGCAGUGCGGUUCCAAGUCAUAUUGUGGAUCAAUCUUGCCGGCAGCCAUUCGUUUACACCUGCCAAAAAUAAUGUCAUGAAGGUGAAUUAUUUAAAGGUGAUUAUAAAUGCAAGGCAGAUUAUGUAAUGAUAGCAACAACUAAGUGACAUUAAUGUAGCCUACAUAUGUAUUAAUUCAAGUAACAUUUGAUUAGUUUAUCCUUAGUGACGGUGAUGAUGACGAUAAGAAUGAUGUUACCACUAGUGUAUUUCUGAAUUACAAUUGAAAUUAACUUAUUUACAAACCUGCUAGAAGUCGGUAUGCCAGCGUGAGGUGAUGUGGAAUGGACAUUUUCCAUAGCCUCAACAUCUGGGGACCAUCAGUUUCCCUUUCUGCAUCUCUGAAACUCAUUAUGAGCAAUCCAUGCCCCACGAGUGACCGGCUGUAGGCUGGCACAUGAUCGUUGUUGACGUCCUUGCUGGUGACCUUGCAUUUACCACUCGUUUUCUGUUCACGAAAAAGUCUGAAAAGUAACAGAAAUGUUGGGAAAUUGUAUCCAUGAAGUUAGCAUAGCAUAAGUUGGUAUUGAGAAUAAUCAAAUUAACUAUUGGGAACAGAAUGCGAUUAAUAACGAUCAGGAAUGUACCUUUUUUCCCACCCCCAUCACAAUGCCCAUGCCCAUACCAGCUUUUCAAAAAUAAACAUUACAGAAUUUUGUAACAUGUGGUCAGGGAAUAUGGAGAUGAACCCUGUCCAGGAAAAUUAAGUUAAUUUUGAACUUUUUGAGUUUUGUGCACAAUAUUUUCUUGCCGGUAAAUUAUACUUACCUACAACACUGGACGAGGGUGACAUACCGGUAA